rnacentral:rRNA from 1 species
AUGUACAAGAGAGGUGAAGGCAGGGAUCGUCUACUAGUUGGCAUCUACGUCGACGACCUAUUGAUUACUGGAGCAGAUGAAGAGGUGAUUGCAAAGUUCAAGUUACAAAUGGAGAUUUUCAAGAGGGAUGAUCUAGGUCUCUUGAGCUUCUACCCCAGGAUAGAGGUACAUCAAAAGACAGAGGAAAUCACACUAUGCCAGGAGGCAUACACAAGGAAGAUACUUGAAAACUGUGGCAUGAAAGAUUGCAAUCUAAUUGAAGCUUCAAUGAAACCUCGUCUUGAACUGAGCAAGAAGAGUAAAGCACCCGCAGUUGAUGCAAUAGAGUAUAUUGCAGCUGCCACUGCGAUGUGUCAAGGUGUGUGGCUAGGGAGGCUGCACGGUGAUCUCAUGGAUCGAGAUCCGGAACAAGUGGUGCUCAAUGUUGAUAGAAAGUCUACAACUUUUCUACGCGAAGAACCAGUGCGGCAUGAUAGGAGCAAGCACAUUGAUACGGUGUAUCACUACAUAAAGGACUGUGUAGAAGAAGGGAAGACGGAGGUCAACUACAAUCGCACUGAUGAUCAGCUGGCGGACACCCUAACCAAGGCUUUGGAUCGAGAGAAGUUCUUAGAGAGGUGA